CCUACGGGAGGCAGCAGUGAGGAAUAUUGGACAAUGGAGGAAACUCUGAUCCAGCCAUGCCGCGUGAAGGAAGUAGGCCCUAUGGGUCGUGAACUUCUUUUGGCGCAGAGCAAUAAGGGCCACGCGUGGUCCGAUGAGAGUAUGCGUCGAAUAAGCAUCGGCUAACUCCGUGCCAGCAGCCGCGGUAAUACGGGGGAUGCGAGCGUUAUCCGGAUUUAUUGGGUUUAAAGGGUGCGUAGGCUGCGCGACAAGUCGGCGGUGAAACCCCGGGGCUCAACCCCGGGCCUGCCGUCGAAACUGGCGCGCUGGAGUUCGGAUGCCGUGGGAGGAAUGAGUGGUGUAGCGGUGAAAUGCAUAGAUAUCACUCAGAACACCGAUUGCGAAGGCAUCUCACGAAUCCGAGACUGACGCUGAGGCACGAAAGCGUGGGGAUCAAA
rnacentral:rRNA from 1 species